rnacentral:rRNA from 1 species
CCUAUGGGCGGCAGCAGUGAGGAAUAUUGGUCAAUGGGCGUAAGCCUGAACCAGCCAAGUCGCGUGAGGGAUGAAGGCUCUAUGGAUCGUAAACCUCUUUUAUAAGGGAAUAAAGCGCGGGACGUGUCCUAUUUUGUAUGUACCUUAUGAAUAAGGAUCGGCUAACUCCGUGCCAGCAGCCGCGGUAAUACGGAGGAUCCGAGCGUUAUCCGGAUUUAUUGGGUUUAAAGGGUGCGUAGGCGGCUUUUUAAGUCAGCGGGGAAAGUUUGGGGCACAACCCUCGAAUUGCCGUUGAAACUGGGGGGCUUGAGUGUGUUUGAGGCAGGCGGAAUGCGUGGUGUAGCGGUGAAAUGCAUAGAUAUCACGCAGAACCCCGAUUGCGAAGGCAGCCUACCAAGCCAUGACUGACGCUGAUGCACGAAAGCGUGGGGAGCAAACAGGAUUAGAUACCCUAGUAGUC